rnacentral:tRNA from 1 species
GGUGGCUCAACGGUAGAGUACUUGCCUUGUAUGCAUGAGGCCUGGGUUCAAUUCCUCAGCACCA